rnacentral:rRNA from 1 species
UCUUCCCUCUUUCUUCGUGCCUAAUACAUGCAAGUCGAGCGAACGGACGCGAAGCUUGCGUCUCUGAUGUUAGCGGCGGACGUGUGUGUAACGCGUGUAUCACCUCCUUAUAAUACUGGGAUAACUGCGGGAAACCGUAGCUAAUACCGGAGAAUAUUUUGAACCGCAUGGGGCAAAAGUGAAAGACGGUCUUGCUGUCACGUAUCGAUGCAUCCGCGCUUCAUUGGCUAGUUGGUAAGGUAAAGGCUUACCAAGGCUACGAGGCAUAAGCGAGCGGAGAGGGUGAUCGCCCACACUGGAACGGAGACACGCUCCAGAGUCCUAUGGGAGGCACCAGUAUGGAAUCGUCCGCAAUGGUGGGAAACCUGACGGAGUAACGCCGCGUGAGUUAUGACGGUCUUCGGAUCGUAAAGAUCUGUUAUUAGGGAAGAACCUAUGUGUACGUAACUGUGCCCAUAUUGACGGUACCUAAUAAGAAAGCACCGGCUAACUACGUG